GACGAACGCUGGCGGCGUGCUUAACACAUGCAAGUCGAACGAUGAAGCCGGAGCUUGCUCUGGUGAAUUAGUGGCGAACGGGUGAGUAACACGUGAGUAACCUGCCCUUGACUCUGGGAUAACUGCUAGAAAUGGUAGCUAAUACCGGAUACGACCCUCGGAGGCAUCUCCAGGGGGUGGAAAGAAUUUCGGUCGAGGAUGGACUCGCGGCCUAUCAGCUAGUUGGUGAGGUAGCGGCUCACCAAGGCGACGACGGGUAGCCGGCCUGAGAGGGUGACCGGCCACACUGGGACUGAGACACGGCCCAGACUCCUACGGGAGGCAGCAGUGGGGAAUAUUGCACAAUGGGCGCAAGCCUGAUGCAGCAACGCCGCGUGAGGGAUGACGGCCUUCGGGUUGUAAACCUCUUUUAGUAGGGAAGAAGCGAAAGUGACGGUACCUGCAGAAAAAGCACCGGCUAACUACGUGCCAGCCGCCGCAGUAA
rnacentral:rRNA from 1 species